AACAUCUCCCUAAAACAUGCUUCAACAAUUAAAGACCGCCGCCUUCGUCGCCUUUUGGGCCGUUGCUUUAGUCACAAUGGCCGCAGCAGAGAGCGAACUCCCACAGAGUUAUUGACUGUAUCAAGAAGAAGAGCACCACACACAUUGCGAUUUUCUGGAAAUAGUUCUAGAUAGCACUUUGUAAUGCAC